rnacentral:lncRNA from 1 species
ACUUCCAGUACUAUGUGGGAACUGUGACACUGUAGUAACACAGCUUACUUUCAAACGAGUGGCUUGAAAGCAGCAUUCUCUAUUUUUAAAGUUACAAUUGGAUUACCAAAGUGGGUGAGCAAGACUCUGAAGAGGGCUCUCACCUCAACUGAGUUUAGGGUUGUCCUCAAAGUUAACUGAACACAUUUAAUAGUAAUAUAUGUAAUUGUCAUUGUGCUGUGUAUUAGUCCAUUUUCACAUUGCUGAUAAAGAUGUACCUGAGACUGGGUAAUUUAUAAAGAAAAAGAGGUUUAAUGGACUCACAGUUCCACAUGGCUGAGGAGGCCUCACAAUCAUGGCAGAAGGUGAAAGGCACAUCUUACAUGGCAGCAGACAACAGAGAAAAUGAGAGC